rnacentral:rRNA from 1 species
UGGGGAAUAUUGCGCAAUGGGGGAAACCCUGACGCAGCGACGCCGCGUGUGGGAUGAAGGUCUUCGGAUUGUAAACCACUGUCGCGAGGGACGAAGCUCUGACGGUACCUCGAAAGGAAGCACCGGCUAACUCUGUGCCAGCAGCCGCGGUAAUACAGAGGGUGCGAGCGUUGUCCGGAAUCACUGGGCGUAAAGGGCGCGUAGGCGGCCCGGUAAGUAGGGGGUGAAAUCUCAUGGCUCAACUGUGAGGCUGCCUUCUAGACUGCCAGGCUUGAGCACAGUAGAGGCGAGUGGAAUUCCCGGUGUAGCGGUGGAAUGCGUAGAGAUCGGGAAGAACAUCGGUGGCGAAGGCGGCUCGCUGGGCUGUUGCUGACGCUGAGGCACGAAAGCGUGGGGAGCGAACAGGAUUAGAUACCCCCGUAGUCCCUGAGCGGGCUGGCAAGGCGCAU